UACGUAGGGUGCGAGCGUUGUCCGGAAUUAUUGGGCGUAAAGGGCUCGUAGGCGGUCUGUCGCGUCGGGAGUAGAAAACUCAGGGCUUAACCCUGAGCCUGCUUCCGAUACGGGCAGACUAGAGGUAUGCAGGGGGAGAACGGAAUUCCUGGUGUAGCGGUGGAAUGCGCAGAUAUCAGGAGGAACACCGGUGGCGAAGGCGGAUCUCUGGGCCAUUACUGACGCUGAGGAGCGAAAGCGUGGGGAGCGAACAGG
rnacentral:rRNA from 1 species